CGGACGGGUGAGUAACGCGUGAGAAUUUGCCUUUAGGAGGGGGAUAACAACUGGAAACGGUUGCUAAUACCCCAUAUGCUUUCGAGUGAAAUGGAUUUAUCCGCCUAAAGAGAAGCUUGCGGCUGAUUAGCUUGUUGGUGAGGUAAUGGCUCACCAAGGCGACGAUCAGUAUCUGGUUUGAGAGGACGAUCAGACACACUGGAACUGAGACACGGUCCAGACUCCUACGGGAGGCAGCAGUGGGGAAUUUUCCGCAAUGGGCGAAAGCCUGACGGAGCAAUACCGCGUGAGGGAUGAAUGCCUAUGGGUUGUAAACCUCUUUUUUCAGGGAGGAACAAAAUGACGUGUACCUGAAGAAUAAGCAUCGGCUAACUCCGUGCCAGCAGCCGCGGUAAGACGGAGGAUGCAAGUGCUAUCCGGAAUCACUGGGCGUAAAGCGUCUGUAGGUGGUCAAAUAAGUCAACUGUUAAAUCUUGAGGCUCAACCUCAAAAUCGCAGUCGAAACUAUUAGACUAGAGUAUAGUAGGGGUAAAGGGAAUUUCCAGUGGAGCGGUGAAAUGCGUAGAGAUUGGAAAGAACACCGAUGGCGAAGGCACUUUACUGGGCUAUUACUAACACUCAGAGACGAAAGCUAGGGUAGCAAAUGGGAUUAGAUACCCCAGUAGUC
rnacentral:rRNA from 1 species